UUUCCGUUUUUCAUUUAAAUUAUUUUUUUCAAAACGUAAACCUGCUUGCGUUUUCAAAUUUUUUUGAAGUGGAGAAAUGAAUUCACCAGCAAAAAUAUCAUGGAAUGACCAAAUCACAAUGAGGUUUGCAGAAAUGUUGGAACCAGAAGAGAUUAUAUGGAAUCAGGCGCAUCCUGAUCACAAGAAGACAUUCGUUGUGAUGGAACAUCUUUCCAUCAUAGGAAUUAAAUUAUCAGAAGAAUAUCCUGAUUAUGACUGUAGUGUUAACUACUUAAAAAAGCGUUUAAGA